AGUUUUGAGAAAUGGGAAAUUCAUUUUUUUUUUAAUCUACUUAGCCUCCUAUAAAACAAGAAAAGAAGAAAGUGACGCAACCACUAUCCAACAACCAGAACUUGAAUCUUUAAAGCUAGGUUUUGAGAUUAUGUUUAUAUUUAUUUUAUCAAGAGCAAAAUUGUCAUUUUACCUUGCCAUUUUAUUUUUUCCCUACUUCUAAUUUUAACGAUGCUCGCUAUUUCGACACAAACGAGGGUCUAGAAACAUCUCUCCUCUGUUCCAUCAUAACUACGGCCUUUGAGUUCUUCUUCUUCUUCAGAAUUUCUUCUUCAGAAUUUGAAGAAUACCAUUUCAGAUCCCCGCGCAGCAGCUUUUGGACCUUAGCUUGGGGUGGCUGCCUUCAGUCCAUUCGGAGAUCCAAGGUAGUCCUACAGGCGUCCGCAGGCCCUGGCGUCUACCUCUAUCCUUUCUUCCCGUUUUAUUUACGUAUUUCAGAAAGAGUGUUGUAUUUACUUUUCAGACCUUGUUUGUAGUAUUCCUAGACCGUCUGUGAAGUUGUGACACCAGUUCUGGGUAGUAUUUGUUUAAGAAAUUGUAUUGGAAAGAUUUAAAUGGUUUUAA